GCCACAGAGAGGCCUGCCUCCAGGAGCUUCCUUGAGAGGUUGAGGCACAUGCUAAGAGCAAAGCUUCUGACUGCAGAUAUGGGACUCGAAAGGGAGUUGAUGCGCCCUUGAUGUAAAACCAGAUUUCCCGGUCCUGGCCUCAGCCUAGCUCCUGAGCCUCACUGCUCUCCAGAUCAACUACCCUCUAUUUAAAAUGGAGAUUAUCGACUCCAGCAAGGAAAGCAGCCUCAUCCUGAUGGCUCUACUGAGCACAUGCUAUUGUUCCAAAAUAAGGACACUGAACACAAAGUGCAUGGCUUUCUGAGACUACAGACUGGCAAGCCACAGAGAUGCAAACUGAGAAUCUACACAGAAGUACUUACUUAAUGCUUAAAAAAGGAAUGGGUAUUCAGCAUGGAUAAGUGAAAAUUUGGACCCUUUUCAUGCCACAACUUUUAAUCACUCUGGAGAAUCAAACUGAAUGAGGCACAGAACCCAUGACACAUGUAAAGGCUCUUGGAUGUUCCUGCAAUAGCUAAAGGAGAGUUUCAAUCAGCUAGCUUAUUUGCAGUUUUAAGAGGUACACCCAACACAUGCUCUCAGGAUUUCAAUCAGAAGAAAGAACUGACUUAAAACUCAUCCCCUAUGAUCACUCUAGCCACUUUGCACCCACUGAACUUGGCGCUUUGGCUACAUCAGCUCUGAAGAGUCAUCGAAGGUCAGCAAUGACCAGUGAGGUUUGAGGGAGCUACUGUCUCUAGAAAAAUACACCAGAUAAAUUCCUGCAGAGUGUCAGAGGACAAGGGACAACUGAACACCUUUAAAGAAACCAUACUGAAGAGAUGGAAGGCAACCAUCUCUAAACACAGACAAAUCCAAGUGGUUUCCUACAGUACAUGGAAAUAUGAUGUCCUCACCUUGAGACGCCUGAAGGAAAGGUCAUAUUCUUGUAACAUUCAUUUUCCUAUCAUGCCAUGCCUGGAGGGGAUGACUGGGGUACUGCUGGAGAUAUCAUUCUGGAAUGUGAGCUAGGGCAGGGACACUACAUUGGAACCUCUGGAAGCACAGAAGGCCAGACUACUUCAGUUACACUGCUUGUUAUAGAAUGCAAGAGGAGUGUGUUCUUAUUUAUAACACUGAAGAAUACCAAGACUAAAGGGGUCAUUCACUCUUGUCAUCUGAGUCACCUCAAGUCCCUGUGCACCAUCCUAUACUGCACAGUCAUCCCUGACUGCACUCCAUGGCGAUGCUCCGAGAAUGUCUUCAUUGUUCUCCAUGAGUCACCUUGUAUCCCUCAUCUGACAGAGAGUUAAGCAGUGUGAUGAAAACUUUGAAUUUGGGUCCCGGGCUACUUUGUCACUCAGCAAAACAGCAGGGAUUGAGAUUUUUGUUGUCAAUGAGUUGAAACCCUAAGUUUGGAAAGGAAUGAAAUUAAGUAUAGAACUUUCUAGGAGGACAUAGUCUUCACUUCCAGUCUGGGGAAGACUCCCUUCUGUAUUGGAAUGCCUGUGCAUGUAUCACAGAACUUUGUGAGACUAUAUAAAUUUUCAGAAAUACUGUGGCAUUGCCCUUCUGUGUCUGUGGGUUCUGCAUCUGCAGACCCAGUUAACCAGAGAUAGAAAAUAUUUGCAGGGGGAAGCUGUAUCAGUACUGAACACAUACCAACUUCUAGCCAUUAUUUUAUAGUGUAGUACAUUAAUUAAUAAGAUAACCUAUAGUAUAUUAUUGUAAGCAAUGUGGAGAUGACUUAAAGUGUUUAGAAUGAUGUGUGUAUAAUUUGCAUGAAAAUAGUAUGCCAUAUUAUGAAAGAGACUUGAGCAUCUGUGGAUUUCGACAUCCAUGGAAAAUUCUCAAACUGGUCCCACACAAGUAUCAAGGGGUAAUGAUAUGGAAAGGAAAGACAUGAUAUAAAAAACACCUGAAAGGGCGUAAUUAUUGAUAUUUGUUAUGUUUUAGAUUUCAAAUGUCCCCCUAAAGUUCAUGCACUGAAGGCUCGGUCCAUAAUGCAUCAGUAUUCAGAUAUGAGGCUUCUGGGAAAUGGAUGAGGAACCUUUGUGAACUGACGGACUCAUUUAUAGAUUCACAUUUAAUAGGCUAGUGGGUAGUGGC